UAAAGCUUUUUUAGUAAAUGA
rnacentral:piRNA from 1 species